AUGAAGAUAGCAGGAAGCACCACAUGGAAGUUAAGAAAGAAAUACAGGGAAUGGAGAAAACCCAAGAGCAGAUGUCUGUUUCUUGAUUGCAUCUCCUGUGACCUCCCCAUCGGUGUUCUCAGCUUUCUCUGUGUGAAGACGUGCUGUCCUCCUUCCUGGGUCUCCUGGUCCCUUCAGCAUGGCUGUGAGGUGCGACCCGACACAAAGAGGAAACAGCAUCGCCACUGCUUGUCAGGAUUGGCAAUAAACACUAGCUGUAACAUGGUGCACUUUUCUCCAGGAGCUGCUUGCAGUGAAUGACCUCAUAGUGAUCUGUAAAAUUGUAUAUUUUUGUCUAAUGAAGUAGUCAUUAAAAAUUCAAAGCCUCAAAUUCACAGCAAUCCUCCUGCCUCAGCCUCCUGAGUGCUGGAAUGACCACCACGCCUGGCUUCACUGUUUAUAUUUUAUGAGUCCAUGUCUGCAGUACAUGAUUGCAUUCCUCAUGGGGAGUUGGUCCACGCACGUAAUACAUCUGAAGUCCUUUUUCUUCCCUCUCUUCUCCCCCUCCAUCUCUUCCUAUGUGGGGAGUUGGUAUAUGCGCAGCAUAUCUUUUUGUUUUGUUUUGUUUUUUGUUUUUUUGAGACAGGAUCUUGCUAUUUGUUCUAGUUGGCCUUGAACUCACUGUGUAGCCCAGGCUGGCCUUGAACUCACAGCAAUCCUCCUGCCUCAGUCUCCUUAGUGCUGGGAUUAGAGGCAUGUGCUACCACUCCUGGCUCUCUCCCUGGGGAUUUGUUGCCCAAAACCUUGCUCAUUUUCCUAUUUUCCAGAGCAGAAUCUAACAAAAGUUGGAUUUUCCCCCUCUGGGCAGCCCUGAGUCUCUGAACCUCUCUCAGCCCCAUGCCCAGGCUCCUGCACUGUUUUCUAGUUUCUUCUGCAGAACCACAAAUUCAGAACACACAGGUGACAACUGUUGUCACCAUAUUACAGGGCUGCCAGCCCUAUAUCUUCCCUUUUUUCCUGCUGACCAAUUCUGAACGACACAGCUUUUAGUGUUUUGU
rnacentral:lncRNA from 1 species